CAGGGCAAAUAUUUGGAUGACGUGUGGAACUGCUGUACGUUCCCUUCUUCGUACAAUACACACGUCGUAGAAACACAAGCAGCAUUCCGAGGCGUCGCAAGGCUCUUUCCGUGCCAUUGACGCCUUUGGAAGUCAAAUAGUGAAUCCGUGUUGUUUGGGGAGCCUGGCAGUGACUUCGCAUCUCCCCAGAUAUGACGUGCAUCUUCAAACACUGCAAUAUUAUCGCGCCUGCUGCGUUCUCGUCUUAACCUUUUCGACAGUGUCGGCUAUGUGCGAGCGAUGAAUGCCAAACGAAGGUUUCCAUUGGGGAAGGCGAGCCUCGACGUGCUUACCCGAUGGCGUAGAUGGUUUGGACUCGGCGGUGGAGGUUGCUCCGCGUGAGCGCGCGCCGGGCGUAG